UGGGGAAUAUUGCACAAUGGGCGAAAGCCUGAUGCAGCAACGCCGCGUGAGUGAUGAAGGUCUUCGGAUUGUAAAGCUCUGUCUUUUGGGACGAUAAUGACGGUACCAAAGGAGGAAGCCACGGCUAACUACGUGCCAGCAGCCGCGGUAAUACGUAGGUGGCGAGCGUUGUCCGGAUUUACUGGGCGUAAAGGGUGCGUAGGCGGAUGUUUAAGUGAGAUGUGAAAUACCCGGGCUUAACUUGGGUGCUGCAUUUCAAACUGGAUAUCUAGAGUGCAGGAGAGGAGAAUGGAAUUCCUAGUGUAGCGGUGAAAUGCGUAGAGAUUAGGAAGAACACCAGUGGCGAAGGCGAUUCUCUGGACUGUAACUGACGCUGAGGCACGAAAGCGUGGGUAGCAAACAGGAUUAGAUACCCUGGUAGUCCACGCCGUAAACGAUGAGUACUAGGUGUAGGAGGUAUCGACCCCUUCUGUGCCGCAGUAAACACAUUAAGUACUCCGCCCGGGAAGUACGAUCGCAAGAUUAAAACUCUAAAGUGAAUUGAC
rnacentral:rRNA from 1 species